UGGCGGGCGGCCUUUCCGGUGUGGCGGCGUGAGGGCGGCGCAGGCGGCGAUGCCGACCGGGGACUACGACUCCAAGCCCAGCUGGGCUGACCAGGUGGAGGAGGAGGGAGGAGAGGAUGGGCCCCUCCCGUCCCCCAAGGAGGUCGUCAAUGGCAACAUCAAAACCAUCACCGAGUACCGCGAGGAGGAGGACGGGCGCAAGGUCAAG